AGGUGUGAAAAGGGCGGAAAUGCCAUCUCUACAGACUGCUUUGCCUCCUGAGCUUGCAAAUAAUGUCAUUAGGCUUUACCGCGAGUGCCUUCGAAGAGCUAAGUAUAUUGGUCAUCAGCAACAUAACACCGAGCUUCUUGUUACUAUGGUGAGGCAACAAUUCAGAAAAAACAUGCGUGAGACUGAUCCAGAGAAGAUUCAGAAGUUGAAAGAUGAUGCUGCUAGGGGACUUAUAAACCAUAUUCUAUAUGAAUCUGAGAGAAUGUCAGGUCGAAAAUUCAGCCAAAGUUCUUGAUGUUAUAUGGAGAAUGACAUCAAGUAAAAGGUCUCCAUUGAAAUUUCAGAUAUUGUAGGAAUAAGAUGGCUGUUGAUGAAAGUACUCCUUGGAGGUUAUUUUUGCAUUUCCUUGUUUAUUUCUACGAUUUGUUAAAGGAAAACGUCCAUUUUACACUAAGUGUUGAACUUUUCUCCAUCUGCAAUCUUCAUUUUAUU
rnacentral:misc_RNA from 1 species